ACCUUCCGACCUAUCGAUUCGAAGGCGGAUCUAGAAUGGCAGAUCACUCGUGCAACUCUUCUGCCCCAUCGCAAAUCAAAAUCCCACCGAAUCACCCCGUGACCCCUCCUCCCCUCCCACAAUCCCAGCCACAAUCCACCAAGCCCCACCCACAGAUCAAGUCAAGCAUCUCCUAAUAACCUAGACAUCAGCAGGCCUCUCCCGUCGACCCCCUUGCUUCUCUCCGGUUGCCGUCAACAUCUUUACUAGGCGGAAGAAUCCGAUGUCACCAUGCGCCAAGGUCAGUUGUGCGGGUGAGGCGGCAGUUGCUGUGCCAGCUCAGGUGCGCCGCUGCCCAAUCUCGACCGAAAUGCUCAACGGACAUCACAUCACGCCGUGGAAGAAGGGUGUCUUUUCUAGACACCAGCCACCGACCAAGCCUCAUGGAGUGGCCUCCCAUUGCUGCUGACCACUGCGCUCACCAAGGUCAAGAGGGGGAAGCCAGUGAGAGGGGCUCAUCGAUAGUUAGACCCCGCCAUUGGUGGAGGAUAGGGACAGAACAUUCAAAGUUAGUUUAGUGAAGCCAAUAACCACAGAGCGAGGCUGACAGAGUGAGCAAUAAAAUUUUCAGGUUUUGUUAACGGUAAAUGUUUCAAUUGCUUUUCUCAGUA